rnacentral:rRNA from 1 species
AGAGUUUGAUCCUGGCUCAGGAUGAACGCUAGCGACAGGCUUAACACAUGCAAGUCGAGGGGUAACAGGGUGUAGCAAUACACCGCUGACGACCGGCGCACGGGUGAGUAACGCGUAUGCAACCUGCCUUUGACAGAGGGAUAGCCCAUGGAAACGUGGAUUAAUACCUCAUAGUCUCUUUUUCCUUCCUGGGGAAUAGAGUAAAACGAGAGUGGUCAAAGAUGGGCAUGCGUCCUAUUAGGCAGUUGGCGGGGUAACGGCCCACCAAACCGAUGAUAGGUAGGGGUUCUGAGAGGAAGGUCCCCCACACUGGUACUGAGACACGGACCAGACUCCUACGGGAGGCAGCAGUGAGGAAUAUUGGUCAAUGGUCGUAAGACUGAACCAGCCAAGCCGCGUGAGGGAAGAAGGCGCUAAGCGUCGUAAACCUCUUUUGCCGGGGAACAAGAGGCAUCACGCGUGGUGCUGUGAGUGUACCCGGAGAAAAAGCAUCGGCUAACUCCGUGCCAGCAGCCGCGGUAAUACGGAGGAUGCGAGCGUUAUCCGGAUUUAUUGGGUUUAAAGGGUGCGUAGGCGGCUUUAUAAGUUAGUGGUAAAAUUUCGGAGCUUCACUCCGGUCCGCCAUUAAAACUGUAGAGCUAGAGAAUGGACGAGGUAGGCGGAAUAAGUUAAGUAGCGGUGAAAUGCAUAGAUAUAACUUAGAACUCCGAUAGCGAAGGCAGCUUACCAGACCAUAACUGACGCUGAUGCACGAGAGCGUGGGUAGCGAACAGGAUUAGAUACCCUGGUAGUCCACGCCGUAAACGAUGCUCACCGGCCCUUAGCGAUAAGACAGUUAGGGGUUAAUUGAAAGAAUUAAGUGAGCCACCUGGGGAGUACGUCGGCAACGAUGAAACUCAAAGGAAUUGACGGGGGCCCGCACAAGCGGAGGAACAUGUGGUUUAAUUCGAUGAUACGCGAGGAACCUUACCCGGGCUUGAAAGUUAGCGACGAUUCUUGAAAGAGGAUUUCCCUUCGGGGCGCGAAACUAGGUGCUGCAUGGUUGUCGUCAGCUCGUGCCGUGAGGUGUCGGGUUAAGUCCCAUAACGAGCGCAACCCCUACCGUUAGUUGCCAUCAGGUCAAGCUGGGCACUCUGGCGGGACUGCCGGUGUAAGCCGAGAGGAAGGUGGGGAUGACGUCAAAUCAGCACGGCCCUUACGUCCG